rnacentral:rRNA from 1 species
AGAGUUUGAUCCUGGCUCAGAUUGAACGCUGGCGGCGUGCUUAACACAUGCAAGUCGAACGAGAAAGGGACUUCGGUCCUGAGUAGAGUGGCGCACGGGUGAGUAACGCGUAGGUAAUCUACCUCUGCAUCUGGGAUAACACUUCGAAAGGGGUGCUAAUACCGGAUACACUUAUGGGUCGCAAGACCUAUAAGGAAAGGAGACCUCUCCUUGGAAGUUUCUGUGUAGAGAUGAGCCUGCGUCCCAUUAGCUAGUUGGCGGGGUAAAGGCCCACCAAGGCGACGAUGGGUAGCCGGCCUGAGAGGGUGAUCGGCCACAUUGGGACUGAGAUACGGCCCAGACUCCUACGGGAGGCAGCAGUAGGGAAUUUUGCGCAAUGGACGAAAGUCUGACGCAGCAACACCGUGUGAGGGAUGAAGCAUUUCGGUGUGUAAACCUCUGUCGAUGAUGAAUAAAGCGUGUGGGAGUGGAAAGCCCAUGCGUUGAAGGUAAUCAUGAAGGAAGCACCGGCUAACUCUGUGCCAGCAGCCGCGGUAAUACAGGGGGUGCAAGCGUUGUUCGGAAUCACUGGGCGUAAAGGGAGCGUAGGCGGAACUACAAGACAGGGGUUAAAGAUCCGGGCUCAACCUGGAGAGUGCCUUUGUGACUGUGGUUCUUGAGUAUGGUAGAGGUCAGCGGAAUUUCCGGUGUAGCGGUGGAAUGCGUAGAGAUCGGAAAGAACACCAGAGGCGAAGGCGGCUGACUGGACCAAUACUGACGCUGAGGCUCGAAAGCGUGGGGAGCAAACAGGAUUAGAUACCCUGGUAGUCC